UCUGCCUCUGACUCACAGCAGCCUUUGAUAAUUGAAAGGGAGGCCAUUAAUGCAUCAUAAUCUCUUUAUUAGGAUUUAAAAAAAAAAAAAGCGUUCCCGGCAAGGAAAGAUCUGGGUGUGUGUGCGGCCAGAUGAAACCUCCCAUUUGAACAACAGACACCUGCACAGGAGUCAAACAAAAGAGACCGUUCCCGCCCACCUGAUUUUCACUUGAAACAAAAGCAAAAGAUGGACCAGAUACACCGGUCUUGCCUUGCACCCUAGAGGUCUGCAAACUAGCCGGAGCUGGGCUGGCUGGGAAAGCAGGUUCUGCAAAGGGGAUGCUCAACACUGCAGCUGGGAGCAGGUUGCAUGGUUAAAACAGAAAAUAACUCAAUAAAUAAAGCAGCUCAAACUCACCAGCUGAUUCAGAUCCGUCAGUGGUAUGAGACCUCUCGCUGGAGUCAACCGGUGAGACUUGGUCAUCUGGAAGGAGCAACGAGGCAAGAUUCAGUACUGUGUUCAGCUGAAGCCACCUGGGCUUUACAGUCCUUACUGCUAGAUGUUGGAGCAGAAGUCGUCGGGUGCUCUUUAUCUUCUUCCAAGCCUCCGUGUGAUGUAGAGACGCUCAGAGUAUCACUCCACUCUGUUUCAAUGAGGGAUGAAUCUGGUAUUAAUUUGGAGCCAUGAAACAAAUCCUCUGUUAUCUGCUGAUGGGGAGGAUCUAGCUACAAGUGUCAGAUGGGUAGGUGCGUAGGAAUACCAAGGUUCGGGCAAGCCAUUCUUCUCUGAUUGACAUAAAUGCACAACAGAUUUCUGCUUUGCCCCUAGUUGGCUUUGCUUUUCAGUAUAACCAACAAGGUCAAGUGCCAAGGUGACACCUGAGCCAAAACUUUGUCCAUCCUGGAUCCUUGUGGCCCAAUUAUAGCACUUCUUCCUGUCACUCGGAAAAACCAGAGCACACAGAGACAAAGAAAAAGGAACGUGUGAAUCCCAGUGUUCCUAUUAACCAUCAAGAGCACCUAGCUAUGUGUCAAGACACGUGACGGUAGAGAAAAUAAACACCAUCAUAGCGGAUAGCGUAUUUGUAACC